rnacentral:lncRNA from 1 species
AUGCCCAAAGGAAAGAAGGCCAAGGGGAAGAAGGUGGCCCCAGUUCCCACUGUCAUCAAGAAACAGGAGGCCAAAAAGGUGGUCAAUCCUUUGUUUGAGAAAAGGCCCAAGAACUUCGCCAUUGAGAAGGACAUCCAGCCCAAAAGAGAUCUAACACGCUUCGUCAAAUGGCCCUGCUACAUCAGGCUGCAGUAGAAAAGAGCCAUCCUUUAUAAGCGGCUCAAAGUAUCUCCUGCCAUUAACCAGUUCACCCAGGCCCUGGACAGGCAAACAGCUACUCAGCUGCUUAAGCUUGCUCACAAGAACAGGCGAAAGACAAAGCAAGAGAAGAAGCAAAGGCUGCUGAGAAGAAAGCUGCAGGCAAAGGGGAUGUCCCAACUAAAAGACCACCUGUCCUCCGAGCAAGAGUCAAUACAGUCACCAUCUUGGUGGAGAACAAGAAGGCUCAGCUGGUGGUGAUUGACCAUGAUGUAGACCCUAUUGAGCUGGUAGAUUUCCUGUCUGUCUGUCAUGUGUCUAAAGAUGGGGGUGCCUUUCUGUAUCAUCACAGGAAAGGCCAGGCUGGUGUGCCUGGUCCAUAGGAAGACAUGCACCACUGUUGUCUUCACACAGGUUAACUUGGAAGACAGGGGUGCUUUAGAUAAGCUGGUAGAAUCUAUUAGGACCAAUUAUAAUGACAGAUAUGAUGAGAUCAGUCGCCACUGGGGAGGCAACGUCCUGGGUCUUAAGUCUGUGGCUUGAAUUGCAAAGCUGGAAAAAGCAAAGGCUAAAGAACUCUCCGCUACACCGGGUUAA